UUAGGUGGAGACUUUGAAAUGUGCACUAUCACUUGCAGCCUUGUUGAGAAUAUGGAAAAAUGAAGGCAUUACUGAUGAUAACAGGUUAAGUACCACAUACAACGAAGUCAUCGUUUACCCAAUUCCUGCAGCACUUUACCUCAUCAAGAAUUUGCUUCAGUAUUACAUCUUUGCUUAUGUGGAUGCUCCAGGAUAUCAGAUACUGAAGAACCUGAAUAUUAUCAGUACAGGUGUUUUGUACCGAAUUAUACUUAAGAAAAAGUUAAGUGAAAUUCAAUGGGCAGCUUUUAUUCUAUUAUGUUGCGGGUGUACAACAGCACAACUAAAUUCGAGGUAAGAUUCAUUACUAAACUUUCUUAUGGCUCUUCAUUGAAUGAAUGCAUUUCAUUCUAUUGCUAACAAUUUACUAUUUGAGAAAAUAUAUACAGUUUUAUUAACGUGAACCCAGGGAGCUGCUUUGUAUGCACAAGCAUUUACAAACCCUCAAGGGUCCAAAAAUCUACAAGGUUUCCAAGAUCUUCGUCAUUAAUGAGAUGAUAACUUUUCAACAGAACAUUCAAGGUUUGGAACGAAAGAUCUCUACUUCUAGUGGGAGAGGAAAUGCCUAAAAAGUUCUUCUGUUUCUUUAUUUCCAUAAGACCCAAAGGGAAAAGUUAGCAAAAUGAGAGAAGAAGCUUUUCUCUCUCCUAGCCAGCUCUAAAAACUCUGCACUACCAAAUCUUAUCCGCCAUUGAGCCAACUCUGGCCUAGUGCCGAAUGGUUGAUGUUUCAAUUAUAGCCGAGUUAAUGACCACCGGUGGCACUAGAUAAAGCCAAAAAGAACAGCAUCCCUCAUUCCACUAUUUUUCUUUUGGGUUAUUUGGACAGAAAAAAAUGGAACAGUUCUUUUUAUCAUCUGCUCUCCUUUUGAUAGAAUUCAAGACUGUUGGUUCUAGACUUUGUAUACUUUGUUCAAAGUUCAUCUUCUUUCUUCGUGGUGGAAAAUGGCCUAGAACCUUACAGAUUUUUUAACCAAUCAAUAUCAUAUGUUCUAUUGUACUUGGAUGGACCCCUCUGGUGCCUAGUAAUAAUGUCCUCUUUUCCAUUUAAAAAACGAUUACCUAGGAUAGAGAAGAUUGAGAGAUAAAUUCCACAACUUUCUCGCCUUCAAACACCAAAGGAGGAGAUGGUUGGGAGAUAUGUUCUCCCACAAACAUGAUGAACACCAUUAACAAGGAUUCUUCCUCUCUUUCUCAAUCUCUAAACAGGUGGAAUUCCUGUGCAUGUAGCUUCUGAAAACACAAAGCCAUUCAAGGAAAACUUCCAAAUCUGUUUCCAAGGAGACUUGAAGGCGACCUUAUUUUGGGAUGAUAGGUAUAGUAGAAAGAUUUUGUUGAAAUCCUUCCAUCAUUAGUGAGAGGUCAAACUAGAGCAUCAUCCAGCAAAGGCUUCACCCUCUACAUAGCUAUGACAGCCAGCAAGGCUAGGAAAUCACCAACUUCCCAAUUAUUUUGGAUACAUAAUCAAUUCAAUAUUCUAAGCUGCCAGCAAGUUGCUUCAACUUCAAGUUAUUGAACAAAAAAGUUGCUUCAACUUCAAGAUAGUCAGCACUGAAGCACUCUAACCUUUUGCGCAGCUAGAAAGGACCGAAGAAAGUGAAACUUUUAAAGU